rnacentral:rRNA from 1 species
UACGGGGGGGGCAAGCGUUGUUCGGAAUUACUGGGCGUAAAGGGCGCGUAGGCGGCUUGGCAAGUGGAAGGUGAAAUCCCUCGGCUUAACCGAGGAACUGCCCUCCAAACUGCUUCGCUUGAGACCGGGAGAGGUGAGUGGAAUUCCCAGUGUAGCGGUGAAAUGCGUAGAUAUUGGGAGGAACACCAGUGGCGAAGGCGGCUCACUGGACCGGUACUGACGCUGAUGCGCGAAAGCGUGGGGAGCGAACAGG